GACGAACGCUGGCGGCGUGCUUAACACAUGCAAGUCGAACGAAGAGCGAUGGAAGCUUGCUUCUAUCAAUCUUAGUGGCGAACGGUUGAGUAACGCGUAAUCAACCUGCCCUUCAGAGGGGGACAACAGUUGGAAACGACUGCUAAUACCGCAUACGAUCUAAUCUCGGCAUCGAGGAUAGAUGAAAGGUGGCCUCUACAUGUAAGCUAUCACUGAAGGAGGGGAUUGCGUCUGAUUAGCUAGUUGGAGGGGUAACGGCCCACCAAGGCGAUGAUCAGUAGCAGGUCUGAGAGGAUGAACGGCCACAUUGGGACUGAGACACGGCCCAGACUCCUACGGGAGGCAGCAGUGGGGAAUCUUCCGCAAUGGACGAAAGUCUGACGGAGCAACGCCGCGUGAGUGAUGACGGCCUUCGGGUUGUAAAGCUCUGUUAAUCGGGACGAAAGGCCUUAUUGCGAAUAGUGAGAAGGAUUGACGGUACCGGAAUAGAAAGCCACGGCUAACUACGUG
rnacentral:rRNA from 1 species